rnacentral:rRNA from 1 species
ACGAACGCUGGCGGCAGGCCUAACACAUGCAAGUCGAACGCUCGCAAGAGAGUGGCAGACGGGUGAGUAACGCGUGGGAACCUACCUUGUGGUACGGAACAACCAAGGGAAACUUUGGCUAAUACCGUAUGAGCCCGAGAGGGGAAAGAUUCAUCGCCAUAAGAUGGGCCCGCGUAGGAUUAGCUAGUUGGUGAGGUAAUGGCUCACCAAGGCGACGAUCCUUAGCUGGUCUGAGAGGAUGACCAGCCACACUGGGACUGAGACACGGCCCAGACUCCUACGGGAGGCAGCAGUGGGGAAUAUUGGACAAUGGGCGCAAGCCUGAUCCAGCCAUGCCGCGUGUGUGAUGAAGGCCUUAGGGUUGUAAAGCACUUUCGCCGAUGAAGAUAAUGACGGUAGUCGGAGAAGAAGCCCCGGCUAACUUCGU